rnacentral:rRNA from 1 species
UACGGGGGGGGCAAGCGUUGUUCGGAAUUACUGGGCGUAAAGGGCUCGUAGGUGGCCAACUAAGUCAGACGUGAAAUCCCUCGGCUUAACCGGGGAACUGCGUCUGAUACUGGAUGGCUAGAGUUUGGGAGAGGGAUGCGGAAUUCCAGGUGUAGCGGUGAAAUGCGUAGAUAUCAGGAGGAACACCGGUGGCGAAGGCGGUGGUCUGGGCCGGAACUGACGCUGAGGAGCGAAAGCGUGGGGAGCGAACAGG